rnacentral:lncRNA from 1 species
CAUAAAUGGUGAUAAAGAUAAUAUAGUAUAUGAAAGCAGAAUAUAAAUAGUACAGUAGAAGUAAUGAACUGUUCUUCCUGUAACUGGUACUUUCUACUGCUCUCUUGUGCAAGGUUAUUUUAGAAGUGGACAUGAGUGGUAUUCCAUGAUACGAAUUACCUACAAUCACAAAUGUCUGGUUCCUUUAAGUAGCCCAUUUAGUAAGGCUAUAUUUUCAUCUGUCUGUGCUAUCCAAAGUCUGUUAAGACUCUUCCAGUUUUCCAGUCCAAAUGAACGUCCAGGUGAAAGUUGUUUUGUCGGUUGGAUGCUAAUCAGGGUGAGAUAUAAGCAAGAAUAUAUGGGCUUAAGCAUAGAGCCUCCCAAGAACUCAGGGCAAUUCAAUCAAACAUAAAAAAAUAUACUGUAUAAUAACUAAUAACUUGAUUGAGUAAAAUAUUGAAUUUUAAAAUUUAUGUAUUUAUCACAUUUUAAAAAUAAAUUGUGUGAAUGAAACACAGUUGUACACAGAGUAUCAAAGUUGUAUGAUACAAAUACGAUUAUACACUACAAAUAACUAAAAUACGUUUGUAGUGUAUAAAAUACCC